CUGAAACCUUUUCUUCCAGUGAGAGGCAAAGCUAUUCAAUUGUUGCAGGAUAAUUUUUUCCCAGCAAGUAGACAGUUUUAAAAAUUCAGGCACACGUGGUUCUUCCCCAGCGUCUAUGAAUUCCAGACUUCCAGCGGGGUGCCAUUUGAUAAUGAAAAGGACCUGACAAGCACUUCCCAGCUGUCCCAUAGCAGAACUAGUGCCUGUUUUAUAAAGCAAAAGGCAAUUUUGUCUGAUCCUUGCUGUUAUCCCAAGAGGGAAUGGAGUGAACAAGCUUCACGAAUGAUUUCCAGCUUGGUGGAGAUUCAGGAACAGACUGGAAUUAGAGAAGGAAUUGGGGAGAGUAAAAAGAAAACCAAGAGGCCUCACACUUGCACUCAUUUUGCAUAGCUAAAAAAAAGCAACCCACUUACUUAAUUUGGACUCCAGAGUUAAGCAAUCAGCCCAUUCCAUUUGCAAUACGUUUGCUAUAAAUCAACGUUCUUGCCCAAGAGCACUCUUAUGAGCAAAACUGAGCAUUCAAACAAUGUGCAUGAUGGAGGAGGGGAGCUCGGUUUGAGGAUUAUUGCUACAUACUUACUGAGUUUCCUCGACUGUCAAGAGCAUGGGGAGUGAAGGCUGAGCUAAACCUCUGAAAAACAUUUAGGUCACCUCCCAGCAAAUGGAUGAAGGAGCUGCCAAAGAAAAGCAUAACAACCUUUCAGCUUCAAUCAUUUCAGCUGAAAUUAUAAUGCAGAGGAAUGUCGACAUGAUUGAAUUCUUUCCAUUAUGAGAUGCUCAAACCCAGGGCCAUCGGGGGGGCAAAAGGGUCAGGUUGGCCCAGGCCCCCAUUUGAGAGGGCUCCCGAACUGAGUGGUGUUGCAACCUGGGACAUGGAAUUCCAGCGUCACUCAAGUUUGACCCAGCUGCCCAUUCAUCAUGACAAAUUUUGCCCUGGCCCUCCAAGAACUUCUGCACGGCCCUGCUCAAAGCCCAGUGCAAUAGUUGCAAAAUGUAUUAUUGUAAUUAUUUAUUAUUUGUAUUGUGACAAAGUAAUUAAAAGA